rnacentral:rRNA from 2 species
GUCGAGCGGGGGAAGGUAGCUUGCUACCGGACCUAGCGGCGGACGGGUGAGUAAUGCUUAGGAAUCUGCCUAUUAGUGGGGGACAACAUCUCGAAAGGGAUGCUAAUACCGCAUACGUCCUACGGGAGAAAGCAGGGGAUCUUCGGACCUUGCGCUAAUAGAUGAGCCUAAGUCGGAUUAGCUAGUUGGUGGGGUAAAGGCCUACCAAGGCGACGAUCUGUAGCGGGUCUGAG